CAGCACAAAGAGCAGAAUGAUGAUGGGCUGCAGCACAAAGAGCAGAAUGAUGAUGGGCUGCAGCACAAAGAGCUGGCUCAGCGUUUCCUGCCAGGAACCAGCAAUGCAUCUCUGCAAACACACCUGAGGACCAGUGAGGGCAGCAUCACAUGYUGGCGCUGCAGCCACACACCUGUAAUAAAUCUGGGAUCAUUAAAUCAGAUUACAUAAAUC